rnacentral:tRNA from 1 species
GGAGAGAUGGCCGAGUGGUUCAUGGCGUCGGUCUUGAAAACCGAUAUAGUUUCUAAAAAUUAUCGAGGGUUCGAAUCCCUCUCUCUCCU